GGGUGCGAUCAGACCAGCACUAAUGCACAGGAUCCCAUUAGAACUCCGCAGGUAAGCGUGCUUGGGCGUGAGUAGUACUAGGAUGGGUGACCUCUUGGGAAGCCCUCGUGUUGCACCCC
rnacentral:rRNA from 1 species